GCGAUUUCUGGACGUAGUACCACCCCUGUUGAGUUGGAUCCGUUUGAGAAUUGGUGUCAACAGAGUCCGAUCUUAUGCAACAUCAUCAACAUUAAGCUCAGCACCAGGAACUAGUACAUCCUUGCUGAUGAUGAUGACCUUUACACCAGCUUUUGCAAUACAGAUCCUGUACACCCAUUGGAUGAAAGUUUUCAUCCGAGAACAAGU